ACCCACUGCUCCAUCGUCACCUCCAACACCCGGCGACGGCAGGAACAGGAGAGGCAGCCGCCGUUACAGGGGAGGCUGCUCGGUCCCCGGUGAAGGCCUCACGGAGGCGAUGUCGAUGCUGGGCCCCUCGCCCCGCCACAAGCGCUCACAGGAAGGUCUCCUCUGACCCCCACGACGACCCGGGAAGCAGGGCCUCACGGCCUUCACUUUGUGGAGGCAGAAAGACCUCAGGCCCUGAGGACCCGAUGAGGGGACAAAGGCCAAAUCACAGGGUCAGGAGCCUGCUGUUUUCCUGCAGAGGCGGAACAUAGCUUCUGGGCUGUGAUAUGGGGGUAAAGCCCGGGUCACACCGCCCGGGGUCGAGCCCUAGCCUGUCUCCCGGGUACCUCGCUUCACCCUCCGGAGCCCCUCAAUGCCGACCUGCGAAGUGAGGUAGUAACAGCCUCACCUCACGGAGUUGUUCAGGAUUGCAUGGAAGGGCCGGGAAAGUGUCCCUCGUGUCCGCAGUGCUCGGCAGACGCUGGGAGCUUGGUCUGGGACCCCAGCCCCACGGCCAGGCCACCUCUCUGCUCCCACAGUGGGUCACGGCCCGCAACACUCGCUUCAGGAACCCCUCUGGGAACGGGGCCAUGGUCUCGAACACAGGAUAGCAAAACUGUUGAGGGCAGAGAGUGUGGUCCUCGGUGUCUGCCCCCUGAAGCCCCGGCUGGCGGCAGACGCCUUCAGUGCCCGCCGGGAGGGUGGGCACAGCGCCCCAGGCCCCAGCCCUCACAGGGAGGGACCGUGCAGAGGCCCUAGGCCUGGCCUUGGCGGUCACAUGACAUGUCAUCACAGACGGCCCAGAAGCCCCGGCAGGCUCGCCGCCCACCCACCAGCCUUUCGGCCACCCUGGCCGCCCUCUGGUUUCUGUCGCAUCUGUUUGGACGGCAGCCCCCCGCGGGAGCUCUCCUUCUCCGCUCUCUUCAAAGUGCACCGGCCCUCACCCUUCAGACAGCGUGUUGACGCUUGCGCAGAGAGCCGCAGGAACAAUAAACAGCGCCGCGUCCCGAACCUGUCUGCCCCAGGCUUCGGGGCCUUCCUGCCCGCAGAGGCCGGGCCGCGUGAUGGCCGGGGGCUCGGGCAACGGGCAGACCGCGUUCCAGUCCCGCCCCUGCCCCCGGGGAGCUGUGUUUGCUCAGGCAAGUACCUUGCCUCCUCUGGAUCCCAGUUUCUCCAGCCAGGGAAGGGCAGCAGAGAUGGGCCCAGAGCUGGUGGGCACGAAGUAUCCAUUAUUGUGCUGUUGUUUAAGUCGGACUGCGCUGCCAGACGGGCGAGCGGGAAGGUCAGCGGUGGUCCCAGCGGCGUGGUGUCACUUGACGACCCCACGUUCUCUCUCUACCUUCUUCCUCCAACUGCCAAUAAAACCUGCCGCAGCGGACACGAGCCCGUGCCCUCAGCCACACUGGCCACUUAGAGGCCCCACACCCAGAACUAAAGUGAUGCUGAUGGUUUGCAAAUAUAUAAAAACCCUGCAAGGGGUGGGACCAUGGGUGAUUCUCCUCUCUAACAUCCCCCUCUUUUUCUUCACUUGUUUUAAGUUAAGUCUUUCCUUUUAUUCCCAGUUAGUUACCAGGCAGUGACCUUAGCGUCAGGCUACAGCACGGCGGCUCGGCCCCUCCACACGUGGCCCGCAGCCCAUCCCCCGCCUCCCCCGGCCCCGCGUCCUCCCCUCUGGGGACCAGCAGUGUCUGCUGUAGUUAAGAGUCUGCUUUGGGGUUUCUUUCUUUUUUUCUUUGUCCAUUUGUUUUGUUUCUUAAAUUUCACAUAUGAGUGAGGUCCUGCGGUGUUUGCCUUUCUCUGACCGCCUUGUCUCUCUCAGCAUCAUACCCUCUGGCUCCUUCCACGCCGUUGCAGACAGCAAGCUCUCGUUCUUUUUUACGGCUGCGUAAUAUUCCGCUGUGUGUUUAACACCCCUUCUUUAUCUGUUCGUCUGUCAGUAGACGCUUGGGCUGCUCGUAGAUAAUGGUGUUGUAAACACGGGUACUUGUGACAGGUGUGAGGAGAUAUCUCGAUGCCGUUUUGAUGUGUGUUUUCCUGACAUUGAGCAUCUUUUCAUGUGCCCAUUAGCCAUCUAUGUCUUCUUUAGAGAACUGUCUGGCCACGUCUUCCGCCCGUCCCCCUGCCACGGUGGAAAGGAAGAAGGCAGAGGGAGAGAGAGAGAGACUCAGGCAGAUUCCGCAAUGAGCGCUGAGCGUGGGUCCCAACACGGGGCUCGAUCCCAUGAACCUGAGAUCACCACCUGAGCUGAAAUCAAGAGUCGGACACUUAACUGACGGAGCCACCCAGGGGCCCCUCUUCUGCCCGUUUUAAUUGGAUUAUUUGGUUUUGGGGUGUUGAGUUGUAUCCGUUCUUUAUAGAUUUUGGAUAUUAGCCCUUUUAUCAGAUACGGCAUUUGCAAACACGUUCUCUCGGGCUGUCAGUCGUCUUUUAGUUCCUUCCCUGUGGAGAAGCUUUUUAUUUUGAUGUGUUCCAUGACAUAUCUCUGAUCAAAGUCUUGUAUCUUCUCUUCCUAACCCCCUUCUAUGAAUUUCUCCUGAUGGGCUCCUAGUGACGGUGACAGGGUAGCCGUGCCCCGCCCCCGCACAGCCCUGCAGCCCGACACGUACCUCACGCCGGGCAGACAGUUUUCUAACCGGGCCACAUCCCUCCCUGUGUGGGUAUAUUUGCAUGACUUCAUGUUUGCGUUACAUGUUUAUCUCUAUAAUAGGAAUAUUUUACUCAGAAAACUUUCUACCAUAUUUCAGUUUAUUGGGGGGGGGUUAGAUAAAUUUCCAAUUAUAAUAAAACAGAGUCAAAGGCAACUAGCCUUUGAUGACCUUUGAUACAUUUUAGUGGAGCUGAGGGGGGACACGAAGCACCUAUGCCCAAGUAGCGCCCCACAGAUCAAAGCUUGGCGGGCCUAUGGGCCUCGCCUUUGGGUUGGAAGAACCUACAUGAACUCAGCCUUCUACGGAGAAGCAGAUAUGGUGAGGAAGACAUUUUUUUUUAAUUGUCACAAAUUCUUUGGGGGAGAAUAACUUUAUAGAUGAGAUCCAUAUUAAGAGACUUAUUUACAGAGACUAAGGAGAAACAAUUUCUGCUGAUUAAGGACGCAUCUAAAAGAAACAGAGAAAAACGAGAGGCCUACUUUGCCAUGACGGUAUAAGAACAGACAAUCCCUGAAAGGUGUCGUCUCUCAAACCCACACCCGGCCGGCCGUGAUGGAGGGGUGGGGGGAGCCAAACCACAGGCUGUCAGGGCUGCAAAGCACCUAAGGGUUUACCUCGUCCCAGGCCCUUCUGUGCGACAUGCACGCUAUUCCCUGAGGGCUGGCUGAAGGGCAGGUUCGGGUUCAGCAGGUCUGGUGGGGCUGAGAUUGUCCAGCUUUAACCAGCGCCCUGGGGAUGCCCAACGUUGCAGGUCCGUGACCCACUGAGCGACUACUGAUUUUACCGGCUUGGUGGGAGUUGCUUCCCAAGCUCCUUGAUCUGGAACAAGAGUUCUCAACGUGGACUAGACUUUAGAAUCACCCGGGGAGAUUUUUUUAAAACUCCAGUGCCUAGGCUGUACCCCAGACUGAUUAAACCAGAGCCCUCAUGCAUGGGACCCUGCGUGAGGACGUUUUCAAAGCUCCUGGGCUCGCCAGUGCACAGCUGAUGUAGAUGCUUCCUUCGUCUGGGCUGAGAAGGAGGCCAGGAAGACUGAUUCCCACUGCUGGGGCCUAGACGUUCUCAGGAACAGUGUAGCCCUUGGUGGGUUGCUCAAAGGGCAGGGGUAACAGGUCCCAGAAAGUCAGGGUAUCCACGGCAAGAAGAGCACUGAGGAAUUUGGUGGUUUUCCAAACACACUUCAAGGGUAGAAGUCAGAACAAAAGCUGUCUCAGGGGAAAGUACAGGCUGAGAAGGGGCAGUACGUACUGGGGGUUUUCUAUAUCUCUACUGAGGUGACCACGUACAUAAAACUCAGCAAACUAUAAAUGUAAGAUUUCUGCACUCUGUAUGCUUUCUGGAUAUAAGUUAAACCUGAAGAAAAAAACAUUAAAAGCCAAGAAAGAUAAACCUAUAUAACAAGUGAGAUGACAGAAAAAACACAGAAGCCCAGAUCAGAAAGAACCUCUGCGGAUUAACAAGAAAAUGAGCAGCCAGGAGAAGGGCACAUGAGGAAACGCAUGACUAAACACUGGAAACGAUCGGCGCAGCGGUGAGAGAACGAUGAGCCCAUGAAGCACAUCCCUUAAAUCUGCGCACUGUGAGACACCAUCACAGCCAUCGGCUCUUUGUUGCAUUUCCUUAGGCUUUUUACAUAGUUCAGUAUUGCUUUUGGGUUGAAUCUCAUACAGGUGUCGGGGCAACCUCGUAAUCUUUUCAGGGCUUCUCUUCGUCUCCCUGGGCGGGAUUAAGUGUUGACACUGAUCAGCCGAUAUCUGAGGCCCCGGGGGGAAUACUUCUUCUGAUGACACAGACUCUCAGAGGUUUGAAGUGAGGAGAACCCAGGAAGUAGCCAAGAAGAGAUUAAGCCAAAGCCCUAAACAGGGCUGACCAAGAUAGAGCUAAAAAGAAAAUCAAAACUAAACUGUAAAAUCCAUAUCACAUCAAAGCUGGUCUCUUUCUCUUUGAUGUAUUAAAUCUCAAGUCCCUUCUUAAAAAUUUUUUUUAAUUAAGUUUUUUCUUUUCUUUUUUUUUUUGAGGAGGGAAUCCAGGGAGGGGCCUGUUUUUCCAGGUGAGCUAAGCACAGGUGAUGACAGGGACGCCGGUCUCAGAGACGCGAAGGGAUCGGGUACUGCUGACCCCUGCCGUGCCGACCCUCCACACGCCUGCCGGCCAUGAAAGCGGCUUGAGUGAAGGUGGUGUUAGGUGCGGGGCGGUGGGUCUCUAGGAACUCUCCCUGGAGAAGCAGGUGUGGCUCCAGGGAGCUGGCAGGCCAGAGAAGAGAGGGCAAGGAGCCCACCGUGGCCCCGAGAAGGGCACCAAAGACAGUGUGAACGUUAUGGCCCAGGCACACCCCAACCGCCCGCGCCCCGACCCUGCCUCUCCUGCCUGAACGUUGCUCCGGGGAAGGAGUCUCGCUCUUCUGCAAUGAGGUGUGAUUUAUAAAGUGCCUCCCCCAGGAGGGGUGGAAAUGCACGGAUGGAAGUUGGUACCAAAGCGUAGGGGAUUGCCCGCAGGCCCCUUCCCAAAGCAGAACGGACGCCCAGCUCCGGGACACGAGAGCUCUGACCGGGGGAGGGGCGAGGAGGAGGGCCCUCCAAAGCAGGAGGGGUGGGCCCCGAGCCAAAUCAGGGCCCGCUCCGAAUCCGCAGCCCUUAAAUGAGCACAGGUGAACUCUAGGUCAAUGUCACUGUGAACACAGAAGAUACCAGAAGUCACGCACGCUGACAAGUUCGCCGUCUCUUCUAGCUGGGUGCCAAGGGAGUGUCGGCAGAGUCUGCGCGGCUCCCGAGGCCAUCGCAGCGGAAGUGGGAGCACGGUCACCACGGGUCCUGUGGAGGGUGAGCCCAGGGGCAACUCUGAAGCGGGGGCUGCCCCUCCUCCACACAGUAUGCACUUCCGGGCUGCCCGGGGCUCAGAAUGACUGUCCUCAGCUCUGGGGUCCCCGUAGACAGGCCCCUUCCUCUCCCCUGCACUCCCUCCCCCAGGGCGCUGCCCGCCGCUGAGUGUGUCCACUCCACGUCCACCCUCCAGAACUGGGGAAGUCACUGCAGGCAGGUUUGGGGACCCACUGGGCAUAUCUGAGCUAAAACCCCACUCAUCCCCUGACCUCCUGGGACUGGUGGGCCUCGUGAUGUUGCGGGCCUCCCAAAUUAAUGUCAGUGCUGGGCCAGUGUUGAGGGAGCCACCAAAAGACCUGGUCGCUUUUUCUCCAGGGCAGUCGCCUUGGUCGGCAGCUGCUCUCCCCCAGCAGCCCUGCCCCUCUGAGCCAGCCUCCCGCCGCAGCCGGGUGGCCUCUCACUCCUCAAGCUCAGCUGUCAUCCUUUUGCCUAACGUCCUUCAGAGAGGGGAGUGUCCUCUACUGUUUCCAACCUGGACACUUCUGAGCGUACGUGGGACAACAGCCACUGCUGGGGACAGAGAGAGAGGAGGGUGUGGCCACCUGUCACCGUGGAGAUCAGCUGGAACUGUCCACGUGACUCACAGCACUCCCGUGGUGGGGUCUUGGUCCCACAGCUGCCUUGCCUUCUCUCUGUGGCCCACAGCCAUUAUGCCCUGUCUCCGUGGGCCCACAGUGGGCUUGUCCUAUCUCCGGGGUCCACAGCCACCUUGCCUGUCUCCAUGGCCCCAAAGCAGUCUUUUUCUGCCUCUGCGCCCAGCCAAGCAGGCCUCCCUGAGUUCGCCAUGUCUCUGAGUCCCUGCACACACAGGUUACUCCUCACCUGCCUUCCCUUCUCGUCUCGCUGCCUCUGAAUACUGAAUCCAAGAGUCGCUCAGGCCUGUCUACAGGGUGUCGCCCUCCUGUCACCCUCACCACACCUCGGCUGAUCAUUUCUGCUAACGGUGAGGACAGGGCCCUGGGCCCCCAGCCGGCGAGCACAGAUCCUUGCCGGAGCCGUGAAGGGAGGGGGUUGCCCCCUUCAGAAGAGGAGUCGCUCCCGGCGCCCCGGGAGUCUCCGAGAGCAGACGCAGCUCAGUGACGCCUUCCCAAGCCGACAUUUCCUGAUUUGAAAGACAGCCAUCCCGUGGAGGAAGAUGAAGUCUAGGACCCUGUGCACAGCUUGGUCGCUUUUCCAGACGUGAGCAGCCCCAGACUCUUUCCACGCAUAGUCCCGCCGCCUCCACGAAGCGGGGAGCGUGGAGAGGGACAGACGGUCUGGGACCGGGGGUCUGUGGGCAAAGCCCGUAAGUGGGAAUCAGCAAAAAGCACCUGGGGUAACACAGGGUCGCCGUAGCUCGUCUGCGCGGUGGCUUUGGGAGAACAAUCGGGGUGACACCACCCUUGGGGCAGACCAGGCACGGCACAGGGUGAGUGGGGGGCAGUGGGAUGGUAGCCCCACUGACCCCCCUUGGCCAAGGGCAGAGGUGCAGGGAGCAGACCACACAGCUGCUCGCCGCAGCCCAGGAAGAUGUGACAGAAAGCAUGCGGCCCAGCGGAGCCCUUGCUGUGAGUCAGGGGUCAGCAUGGAGCCCCCUACUCCCCUUUCCUACCCUGAGCCCCAGUUUCUGGACCCCAACUGUGCUGUACCCUGUGGGACAGCAGCCACUGGGGCCACAGCUCUAGCACUGGGAAUCAUGGCUGCGUCUCACUGCCCUAUGUCAUACCAAUGCUAUUUCCUUUUAUUAUAAAUAGGAAUUUCACUCAAAGGGGUACAACCUCAUACCCCUCGGCUGCUUUGUACUUUAAUCAGAGCUUUCCUGCUGAAAAUGUUUAUCUUCCAGCAAAGAGGUGCUAAUUUUAUCUUGCAAAAGUGGAUAUCUGCUUACGUCCCUUCUACCUUAGAGAAAGAUAACCAAAGGCGCAUUAUGUCAUCUAAAUACAGCAUCCUUGGAGAUCAAAAGGCGUAAUGUACACAUCUGCCAAAGUUGAUGGAGCGGCCAUUGGCGGGCUCUUCCGCCCGGUUGUAUGCGGCUCAUUGAUAGGCACCCGGUGCGUUCCUAUGAAAGAAACUCCCAAGCGCUCUGUUUGUGCCAGCUGAUUUCGGCGAUAUUGGGAGGUUUUGAAACAAGAAUCCAAAAUAGAUGUGCCCUUCUCACCCCUCUGUGUAAGCCCUCACCACAGGAAAUGGCACAGGUUCAAAUUUUCGUAAUGGAAGCUCCGUGGGACUAGAUAAGGCGUAUGUCCCCUACAGGGACGUUUCGGUGUUUAAAAUAUAGUCAAAAUGAUCCAUGGCCGAGCUCCACCUGAGCAUGUUUGUGUCUGGACACGAGUCCUGCUUCUGGUUCUAGCUCACUGUUCCUCACUUUCUUGGACCCCAUUUUAUUGAACGCGUGCACAUGCCGACACACAGGCGCGCACGCGAAGUAAAUGUCCAGAAAAGUAGACGUACUCUUGCGAUAGGCCUUGGACCCGGAUGUUUUGUCCAUUCCAGUCUCGCUGGACAGCUCGUCCUUUGCUUCUCAAAGUGCGGUCCCUGGACCGCCAGCGUCGGCAGCAUUACCAUUGCGAACCAAGGGCCCGCCCAGGACUGCACGGUGACCAUCUGUCACGUCGCCCAUAGGACAAGCCUCCAGUCCGUGCCCCAGAUGAUCGGGAAGCACUGAAUCUACGGAACUCUGCCCUUCAGAACCAGCCACUUCCUUAUAUGCCUGUAAACCUUCAGUUGAAAAUGAGGACACGUCUUCCCCGCUCUGCCGGCAUCCGGGGCUCCCGCUGCCUCCGGGAGAAGGGCCACUUUCUUUAGCAAGACACAAAGGCUCCUCUCGGCCGCGUUCAGCACCCACUCUCCGUCGCCGUCCCAGACAAGCUGUGCUCGUCGGCGCCUCCGUGCUUUCAUGGGCUGUGCCUUGAGCCGGGAGCCCGGCUCCUCCUUCAUCUCCUCAGGGCUCACCUCAGCUGUCACCUCCUCCUUGAAGCACGCCCUGAUCCUGCAGGAAGGAGAAGACACGCCUCCCACUCUACACCCACUGGUCUUCAUGCACCCGUGGUCAUUUCCCGCGGCCGCCUUAACAAAUUGCCACACACUGAGUGGCUUAAAACAAAAUAAGCUUUUCCCUCCUGGUUGGGAGAGGCGGGAAGUCUGAAAUCGGCGUCCGCAGAGCCGGGCUCUCCCUGAAGGCGCGAGGGCGUCAUUGGCUCUGGCCCUUUUUCUUGCCUUCUGAGACUUGUGACAGUCCUUGGCUGGUGCACACACCAUUCCUGUCUCUGCCACCCCAUCCCAAGGCCUUGUCCUCCAUGUCUGUGUGCCCUUGUGUGUCUCUACAAGAUGCUUUCAUGGAAUUAGGCCACCCCCCCAUCCGGCAUGAUCUCAUCUCCAUCCACACCUUAAACACAUGUGCGAAGACUGUAUUUCCAAAGGAGCCCCAUUCCCAUUUGGAGGUUCUGGAUGGACAUGAAUGGGGGAGGGGAGAUUAUCCAACCCUCCGGACACCCUUCCUGUCACAGCUGCCGUUUAUGAUUAUCCAAUGUCUGCGCCAGGUGACGGCCACCUCCCGGAGAGUGAGGCCACCUUCAUUCGGGAUCGUCAGCCACUUGCACAGAGCUCCUCGGGAAAAGCUCCAAGCAAAUGUCCAUUAACUAAGCGCGAACGCGCUUCUCUGUGCGUGUUUUGAGCCCUUCUGACUCCGGCUCCGCUGGACUCCAUACCCCGCCCGUUUGCUGCUUGAACGAGUUCCCCCAUCUGAACGAGUCCUCCCGGAACCCAGAGCACAGAGAGAAAACUCCGUGGCUUUAAUCGCCAUCCGGCUUCCUUUUGUUCCAAAAACUCUCAGAGCCAUCAGCCAAAGAUUUAGUAAGUCUUGGGAUCUGCAAGGCUCUGCCACGGAGGAGCUUGAUGGGAAAGAUCAGAUCUGCAUUGCUGGUGUGGGCGGAGGCUGUGAACGCUUUCCAGGAAGCAGAUGGAGGGCAGAAGUUGGGGGACUUUUUAUGAGUGUUUGCUCCAGCUGUUGGCCGCUGAUUUGGUUCCUGGAACAGCUGGAACCAGGCAUCUUGGCCUCCGAAUUCCAACCUGCCUGGCGAUCACCAAGAAAUGGCACGCCCGAUACAUUCGGGAAUCCCCGCCCACUGUCCCGGAGACCGCUGGCAAGCCCAGGAGCAUGAAUGCUCGGGUGUACUCCCCCUCGGCCCCUCCCCCUGCUUGUGCGCUUUCUCUCUCUCUCACAAAUAAAUAAAUAUCUUUUUAAAUUUUUAAUAAA